UACGUAGGGUGCAAGCGUUGUCCGGAAUUAUUGGGCGUAAAGAGCUCGUAGGCGGUCUGUCGCGUCUGCUGUGAAAACUCAGGGCUUAACCCUGAGCUUGCAGUGGGUACGGGCAGACUAGAGUGCGGUAGGGGAGACUGGAAUUCCUGGUGUAGCGGUGAAAUGCGCAGAUAUCAAGAGGAACACCAGUGGCGAAGGCGAGUCCCUGGACAACACCUGACACUGAGGCACGAAAGCUAGGGGAGCAAACAGG
rnacentral:rRNA from 1 species